CGGACGGGUGAGUAAUGUAUGGGGAUCUGCCUGAUGGCGGGGGAUAACUACUGGAAACGGUAGCUAAUACCGCAUAAUGUCUACGGACCAAAGCGGGGGACCUCCGGGCCUCGCGCCAUCAGAUGAACCCAUAUGGGAUUAGCUUGUAGGUAAGGUAACGGCUUACCUAGGCGACGAUCCCUAGCUGGUCUGAGAGGAUGAUCAGCCACACUGGGACUGAGACACGGUCCAG
rnacentral:rRNA from 1 species